rnacentral:rRNA from 1 species
GAUGAACGCUGGCGGCGUGCCUAAUACAUGCAAGUAGAACGCUGAAGGAGGAGCUUGCUCUUCUGGAUGAGUUGCGAACGGGUGAGUAACGCGUAGGUAACCUGCCUGGUAGCGGGGGAUAACUAUUGGAAACGAUAGCUAAUACCGCAUGACAACAGUUAUUGCAUGAUAACUGUUUAAAAGGGGCAACUGCUCCACUACCAGAUGGACCUGCGUUGUAUUAGCUAGUUGGUGAGGUAACGGCUCACCAAGGCGACGAUACAUAGCCGACCUGAGAGGGUGAUCGGCCACACUGGGACUGAGACACGGCCCAGAGUCCUACGGGAGGAAGCAGGAGGGAAACUUCGGCAAUGGACGGAAGUCUGACCGAGCAACGCCGCGUGAGUGAAGAAGGUUGUCGGAUCGUAAAGCUCGGUUGUAAGAGAAGAACGAGUGUGAGAGUGGAAAGUUCACACUGUGACGGUAUCUUACCAGAAAGGGACGGCUAACUACGUG